rnacentral:rRNA from 1 species
GAUGAACGCUAGCGGGAGGCCUAACACAUGCAAGCCGAGCGGGAUUUGUUGGUUAGCUUGCUAACUAACAAUGAGAGCGGCGUACGGGUGCGUAGCACGUGUGCAACCUGCCUUUAUCUGGGGGAUAGCCUUUCGAAAGGAAGAUUAAUACCCCAUAACAUAUUGAUUGGCAUCAGUUAAUAUUGAAAGCUCCGGCGGAUAGAGAUGGGCACGCGUAAGAUUAGCUAGUUGGUGAGGUAACGGCUCACCAAGGCUGCGAUCUUUAGGGGGCCUGAGAGGGUGAUCCCCCACACUGGUACUUAGACACGGACCAGACUCCUACGGGAGGCAGCAGUGAGGAAUAUUGGACAAUGGGUGAGAGCCUGAUCCAGCCAUCCCGCGUGAAGGACUAAGGACCUAUGGUUUGUAAACUUCUUUUAGACAGGGAUAAACCUACUCUCGUGAGGGUAGCUGAAGGUACUGUAUGAAUAAGCACCGGCUAACUCCGUG